rnacentral:rRNA from 1 species
UGGGGAAUCUUCCGCAAUGGACGAAAGUCUGACGGAGCAACGCCGCGUGAGUGAUGAAGGUUUUCGGACUGUAAAACUCUGUUGUCAGGGACGAAGGUGCGAUCUGCGAAUAGUUGAUCGUAUUGACGGUACCUGACGAGGAAGCCACGGCUAACUACGUGCCAGCAGCCGCGGUAAUACGUAGGUGGCAAGCGUUGUCCGGAAUUAUUGGGCGUAAAGAGCAUGUAGGUGGGCUUUUAAGUCCGAUGUGAAAAUGCGGGGCUCAACCCCGUAUGGCAUUGGAUACUGGAAGUCUUGAGUGCAGGAGAGGAAAGGGGAAUUCCCAGUGUAGCGGUGAAAUGCGUAGAUAUUGGGAGGAACACCAGUGGCGAAGGCGCCUUUCUGGACUGUGUCUGACACUGAGAUGCGAAAGCCAGGGGAGCAAACGGGAUUAGAUACCCCGGUAGUCCUGGCCGUAAACGAUGGGUACUAGGUGUAGGAGGUAUCAACCCCUUCUGUGCCGGAGUUAACGCAAUAAGUAUCCCGCCUGGGGAGUACGGCCGCAGGGCUG